AACGAACGCUGGCGGCAUGCCUAACACAUGCAAGUCGAACGAGACCUUCGGGUCUAGUGGCGCACGGGUGCGUAACGCGUGGGAACCUGCCCUUAGGUUCGGAAUAACUCCCCGAAAGGGGUGCUAAUACCGGCUAAUGUCUUCGGACCAAAGAUUUAUCGCCUUUGGAUGGGCCCGCGUUGGAUUAGCUAGUUGGUAGGGUAAAAGCCUACCAAGGCGACGAUCCAUAGCUGGUCUGAGAGGAUGAUCAGCCACACUGGGACUGAGACACGGCCCAGACUACUACGGGAGGGAGCAGUGGGGAAUAUUGGAAAAUGGGCGGAAGCAUGAACCAGCAAGGCCGCGUGAGUGAUGAAGGCCGUAGGGUUGUAAAGCUAUUUUACCCGGGAUGAUAAUGACAGUACCGGGAGAAUAAGCUCCGGCUAACUCCGUG
rnacentral:rRNA from 1 species